ACAACGCCCCUCCCAUUUCUUGCGGAUUCUGUGGCCAAGACGGGCGGUUGUAUACACGUCUGCGUAGCUCGUCCACCAAAUGGUCAAUCGAGUUUCAGUUCGGGGACAAACCAAGAACGUUGAUGCCGUUUGUUUGAAGGAAAUUUUAAUUCAAUUUUGCCGUGUGUGCCCGCUUGUCCAGCUGAGAAAUUAAUCCAUUGCCUUGCCUAUGCUGCUGCAUUAAUGGCACUAACACAGGCUACAGAGUAUUUUGUCUACAUACUGUCUGACAUUUAAAGUUCCAUUCAAAAUGACCAACUGUGAGGGGAAAUUUGUGUAAAUCGCACCGCAGACCAUGACGCUACCUCCGCCGAGUCUGCCAUGUGACACAGUUGUCUACAUAACGUUCCCGUACAUGAUGGUAAACUCCAGAUCUGUCGUCAUGCAGCAUUACUAACGUUAACUCUGUACUCGUCAGAGAACAAGACCAGUGCCCAUUUCAGGGUUGCUUCAGCCUCUAUCUGGUCCACUGCGCUCUGUGACGUCAGUGAUGCGGUUUAAGUUGUCGUCCUUUGUAAGGUUUCCUGCAGCGGAUAUCAUGGCGUUUCAAUAAUUUGGAUACUGUUCUAGGAUGAAUAUACACAAUGACGUACAAUCGUUUGUCUCGCCGCAGUUCCAGCAGCCGUAAACCUAUCCCGCAAGUUGCGUUGCCCUUUGUGACCUUGUCUGAAACUUGAGAGGCGCCUGCUAAAUCCAAAUUUGUGAAAAAAGUGGGACGGAUCAAAGACAGACUGACAACUGCCAUAGCACUACCUGUAUAAGUCUGCCACAGCACUACCUGUAUAAGUCUGCCACAGCACUACCUGUAUAAGUCUGCCAUAGCACUACCUGUAUAAGAGUGUCCGCAGUGUUUUGCAGACAACACACUGGAAUUUAGAAGAUAUGAAAGACAUACUUUUCCCAGCUGAUGGUUGUUUCUUUGUCAAAGGACUGAUUCCAGUAUGUGGUGGCAUCUUCCAGGUGGAGUCUGGACAUCUUUGUUUUAGACAAACUUUUAUUUAGAUUAGUCAACGUUUUCUGUCUUUUGAAAGAUUUUCUCAGGUCUGAAAUUUCAAAAUAAACGAAAUAAGUACU